UACAGAGACUGCAAGCGUUAUUCGGAUUCACUGGGCGUAAAGGGUGCGUAGGUGGCGGGGUUAGUCUGGUGUGAAAUCUCGGAGCUCAACUCCGAAACUGCACUGGAUACUGCCUUGCUUGAGUACUGGAGAGGAGAUUGGAAUUUACGGUGUAGCAGUGAAAUGCGUAGAUAUCGUAAGGAAGACCAGUGGCGAAGGCGAAUCUCUGGACAGUUACUGACACUGAGGCACGAAGGCCAGGGGAGCAAACGGG
rnacentral:rRNA from 1 species